AUUGAACGCUGGCGGCAGGCCUAACACAUGCAAGUCGAGCGGAUGAAGGGAGCUUGCUCCUGGAUUCAGCGGCGGACGGGUGAGUAAUGCCUAGGAAUCUGCCUGGUAGUGGGGGAUAACGUCCGGAAACGGGCGCUAAUACCGCAUACGUCCUGAGAGAGAAAGUGGGGGGUCUUCGGACCUCACGCUAUCAGAUGAGCCUAGGUCGGAUUAGCUAGUUGGUGGGGUAAAGGCCUACCAAGGCGACGAUCCGUAACUGGUCUGAGAGGAUGAUCAGUCACACUGGAACUGAGACACGGUCCAGACUCCUACGGGAGGCAGCAGUGGGGAAUAUUGGACAGUGGGCGAAAGCCUGAUCCAGCCAUGCCGCGUGUGUUAAGAAGGUCUUCGGAUUGUAAAGCACUUUAAGUUGGGAGGAAGGGCAGUAAGUUAAUACCUUGCUGUUUUGACGUUACCAACAGAAUAAGCACCGGCUAACUUCGUG
rnacentral:rRNA from 1 species